rnacentral:rRNA from 1 species
AGAAUCAACGCUGGCGGCGUGCCUAACACAUGCAAGUCGAACGAGAAAGUGGUAGCAAUACCAUGAGUAAAGUGGCGCACGGGUGAGUAACACGUGACUAACCUACCCUUGAGUGGGGGAUAACUGAGGGAAACCUUAGCUAAUACCGCAUAAUACCUACGGGUCAAAGGAGCAAUUCGCUCGAGGAGGGGGUCGCGGCCGAUUAGUUAGUUGGCGGGGUAAUGGCCCACCAAGACUGUGAUCGGUAUCCGGCCUGAGAGGGCGCACGGACACACUGGAACUGAAACACGGUCCAGACUCCUACGGGAGGCAGCAGUGGGGAAUUUUGCGCAAUGGGGGAAACCCUGACGCAGCAACGCCGCGUGGAGGAUGAAGUCCCUCGGGACGUAAACUCCUUUCGAUCGGGACGAUAAUGACGGUACCGGAAGAAGAAGCCCCGGCUAACUUCGUGCCAGCAGCCGCGGUAAUACGAGGGGGGCGAGCGUUGUUCGGAAUUAUUGGGCGUAAAGGGUGCGUAGGCGGUUUGGUAAGUCUUGUGUGAAAUCUCCGGGCUCAACUCGGAGCCUGCACGAGAAACUGCCGGGCUGGAGUGUGGGAGAGGUGAGUGGAAUUUUCCGGUGUAGCGGUGAAAUGCGUAGAUAUCGGAAGGAACACCUGUGGCGAAAGCGGCUCACUGGACCACAACUGACGCUGAUGCACGAAAGCUAGGGGAGCAAACAGGAUUAGAUACCCUGGGUAGUCCUAGCCCUAAACGAUGACUGCUUGGUGUGACGGGUACCCAAUCCCGCCGUGCCGAAGCUAACGCGUUAAGCAGUCCGCCUGGGGAGUACGGUCGCAAGGCUGA